rnacentral:rRNA from 1 species
GAUCAUGGCUCAGGAUGAACGCUAGCUACAGGCUUAACACAUGCAAGUCGAGGGGCAGCAUCAUCAAAGCUUGCUUUGGUGGAUGGCGACCGGCGCACGGGUGAGUAACACGUAUCCAACCUGCCGACAACACUGGGAUAGCCUUUCGAAAGAAAGAUUAAUACCGGAUGGCAUAAUUAUUCCGCAUGGGAUAAUUAUUAAAGAAUUUCGGUUGUCGAUGGGGAUGCGUUCCAUUAGG